rnacentral:lncRNA from 1 species
UUUUUGCCUGUCAUGGAGUUCCGUUCAUUCUGAACAUGUCACCGGGGACUUUGGAAUGUGUAUCCAUAACUCCCUGAUUUUCAACCACAUUCCAGCCUGCCUGACUCAUGAAGCGUGGAGCGACCCAGGAACAUCCCAGCUCCUCAUGUCCCACAUUCUUCAGGCUUUCUCUUAGUUUUGGCAUGUGCAUGUAAAUGUCAACAGGUGAGUGCCCAGAUCAGCGCCUGAUAUAUACUUGGCACACAAUAACCACUCUUGAAAUUCAUGAAGGAAUCUGGACAUUUAGGGGGUUCACAGAAUCCGCCGCUUUUAGGGAAGAUUCUCUGCCUGAUGUGUGAGCGCUCUAACCUCUUCAUCUGUGUUCAGUCCCCUUGCAAUGCUUCUCUAAGAUCAAUAAAGGCAAAAACCAGGAGAUCCCAUAAAUCCCGCUGAGCCUGUCAUAGCUAUCAAAUUAUACCCAGAUAAAGCUUCUGGUGGCUAAUGACAUGGCCAUCACCCAGCGUGGACGUGGGCAGGAGGGGCUCUCCGGGAGCAUCUGGUCUGCUGUGGAGACACUUGUCAUCUGGAGGCUCUGUGGCUCUAAUGGAGGGUGAUGCUUUGAACGCGACUAUCUCCCCCAUAAAAAAAUAAAUAAAUAAUAAGUAUAAUUUAAAAAU